AUAUCAAUAAGCGGAGGAAAAGAAACUAACAAGGAUUCCCCUAGUAACUGCGAGUGAAGCGGGAAAAGCUCAAAUUUAAAAUCUGGCGGUUUCUGGACUGUCCGAGUUGUAAUCUAGAGAAGUGUUUACCUGUGCUGGACCGUGUACAAGUCUCCUGGAAUGGAGCAUCAUAGAGGGUGAGAAUCCCGUCUUUGACACGGACUACCCGUACAUUAUGGGUGCGCUCUCAAAGAGUCGAGUUGUUUGGGAAUGCAGCUCAAAAUGGGUGGUAAAUGCCAUCUAAAGCUAAAUAUUGGCGAGAGACCGAUAGCGAACAAGUACCGUGAGGGAAAGAUGAAAAGAACUUUGGAAAGAGAGUUAAACAGUACGUGAAAUUGCUGAAAGGGAAACGCUUGAAGUCAGUCGCGUUGGCUGGAAAUCAGCCUUGCUUUUGCUUGGUGUAUUUUCUGGUCCGACGGGUCAGCAUCAAUUUUGACCAUUGGAUAAAGUCUUUUUGGGAAUGUGGCAUCUUUUGGAUGUGUUAUAGCCCAUGGUCGCAUACAGUGGUUGGGAUUGAGGAACUCAGCACGCCGCAAGGCCGGGUUUCGACCACGUUUCCGUGCUUAGGAUGCUGGCAUAAUGGCUUUAAUCGA
rnacentral:rRNA from 1 species